rnacentral:rRNA from 1 species
GGGGGGGGGGGGGGGGGGGGGGGGCGGGGGCAGGGCGGGCGGGGGCGUCGGGUAGGGGGGCGCACGGGUGCGUAACGCGUGGGAACCUGCCCUUAGGUUCGGACUACCUCCCCGAAAGGGGUGCUAAUCCCGGAUAAUGUCUUCGGACCAAAGAUUUAUCGCCUUUGGAUGGGCCCGCGUUGGAUUAGCUAGUUGGUAGGGUCAAAGCCUACCAAGGCGACGAUCCAUAGCUGGUCUGAGAGGAUGAUCAGCCACACUGGGACUGAGACACGGCCCAGACUCCUACGGGAGGCAGCAGUGGGGAAUAUUGGACAAUGGGCGAAAGCCUGAUCCAGCAAUGCCGCGUGAGUGAUGAAGUCCUUAGGGUUGUAAAGCUCUUUUACCCGGGAUGAUAAUGACAGUACCGGGAGAAUAAGCUCCGGCUAACUCCGUG